rnacentral:tRNA from 1 species
GCGCCCGUAGCUCAGUGGAUAGAGCAACUGCCUUCUAAGCAGUGGGUCGCUGGUUCGAGUCCAGUCGGGCGUGCCA